rnacentral:rRNA from 1 species
AGAGUUUGAUCCUGGCUCAGAUUGAACGCUGGCGGCAUGCCUAAUAUAUGUAAGUUGAAUGUGAAAGUGCCUUCGGGUGUGAGUAGAGUGGCGGACGGGUGAGUAACGCGUGGGAAUCUGCCCUGCAGUGGGGGACAACCCGAGGAAACUCGGGCUAAUACCGCAUACGUCCUAUGGGAGAAAGGGGGCCUUCGGGCCCUCGCUGCAGGAUGAGCCCGCGUCCGAUUAGCUUGUUGGUGGGGUAAUGGUUUAUUAAGGUGAUGAUCGGUAGCUGGUCUGAGAGGAUGAUCAGCCACACUGGGACUGAGAUAUGGCCCAGACUCCUACGGGAGGCAGCAGUGGGGAAUAUUGGACAAUGGGCGAAAGCCUGAUCCAGCAAUGCCGCGUGUGUGAAGAAGGCCUGCGGGUUGUAAAGCACUUUCAGUGGGGAAGAAAAGUGUGAGGUUAAUACUCUUGUGUGUUGACGUUACCCACAGAAGAAGCACCGGCUAACUCCGUGCUAGUAGUUGUGGUAAUACGGAGGGUGCAAGCGUUAAUCGGAAUCACUGGGCGUAAAGCGCACGUAGGCGGCUAGGUCAGUCAGAUGUGAAAGUCCCGGGUUUAAUUUGGGAAUUGCAUUUGAUACUGCCUGGCUUGAGUAUGGUAGAGGGAGGUGGAAUUUUAGGUGUAGUGGUGAAAUGUGUAGAUAUUUGGAGGAACACCAGUGGUGAAGGUGGUCUCCUGGACCAAUACUGACGCUGAGGUGCGAAAGCGUGGGGAGCAAACAGGAUUAGAUAUCCUGGUAGUCCACGCCGUAAACGAUGUCGACUAGCCGUUGGACCCAUUUAAGGGUUUAGUGGCGCAGCUAACGCGAUAAGUCGACCGCCUGGGGAGUACGGCCGCAAGGUUAAAACUCAAAGGAAUUGAUGGGGGUUUGUAUAAGUGGUGGAGUAUGUGGUUUAAUUUGAUGCAAUGUGAAGAACCUUACCAGCCCUUGACAUUUUUGGAACUUAGCAGAGAUGUUUUGGUGCCUUCGGGAGCCGAGUGACAGGUGCUGCAUGGCUGUCGUCAGCUCGUGUUGUGAGAUGUUGGGUUAAGUUUUGUAAUGAGUGUAACCCUUGUCCUUAGUUGCCAGUAUAUAAUGGUGGGAAUUCUAAGGAGACUGCCGGUGAUAAACCGGAGGAAGGUGGGGAUGACGUCAAGUCAUCAUGGCCCUUAUGGGCUGGGUUAUAUAUGUGUUACAAUGGUCGGUACAGAGGGUUGCGAAGCAGUGAUGUGGAGCCAAUCCCAGAAAACCGAUCGUAGUUCGGAUUGCAGUUUGUAAUUUGAUUGUAUGAAGUUGGAAUC